CCAGACUCCUACGGGAGGCAGCAGUGAGGAAUAUUGGUCAAUGGGCGGGAGCCUGAACCAGCCAAGUAGCGUGCAGGAUGACGGCCCUAUGGGUUGUAAACUGCUUUUAUGCGGGGAUAAAAUGCGUCACGUGUGAUGUUUUGUAGGUACCGCAUGAAUAAGGACCGGCUAAUUCCGUGCCAGCAGCCGCGGUAAUACGGAAGGUCCGGGCGUUAUCCGGAUUUAUUGGGUUUAAAGGGUGCGUAGGCGGAAGGUUAAGUCAGCGGUCAAAUGUCGGUGCUCAACACCGGCCUGCCGUUGAAACUGGUCUUCUUGAGUGAGUGAGAAGUAUGCGGAAUGCGUGGUGUAGCGGUGAAAUGCAUAGAUAUCACGCAGAACUCCGAUUGCGAAGGCAGCAUACCGGCGCUCAACUGACGCUGAGGCACGAAAGCGUGGGGAUCGAACAGGAUUAGAUACCCCAGUAAA
rnacentral:rRNA from 1 species